rnacentral:rRNA from 1 species
ACGCACGCUGGCGGCGUGCUUAACCCAUGCAAGUCGAACGGAAAGGCCCUGCUUUUGUGGGGUGCUCGAGUGGCGAACGGGUGAGUAACACGUGAGUAACCUGCCCUUGACUUUGGGAUAACUUCAGGAAACUGGGGCUAAUACCGGAUAGGAGCUCCUGCUGCAUGGUGGGGGUUGGAAAGUUUCGGCGGUGGGGGAUGGACUCGCGGCUUAUCAGCUUGUUGGUGGGGUAGUGGCUUACCAAGGCUUUGACGGGUAGCCGGCCUGAGAGGGUGACCGGCCACAUUGGGACUGAGAUACGGCCCAGACUCCUACGGGAGGCAGCAGUGGGGAAUAUUGCACAAUGGGCGGAAGCCUGAUGCAGCAACGCCGCGUGCGGGAUGACGGCCUUCGGGUUGUAAACCGCUUUCGCCUGUGACGAAGCGUGAGUGACGGUAAUGGGUAAAGAAGCACCGGCUAACUACGUG